ACAACUGAAAAACGGCCUUCUUCUGCAUUUUCCAAGCUUCCCAUAGCGAGACCCAAAAAAUUUCUAACCAUGAAAACUCUAUAAAUCAAGCUCCAUCGUCAAAAUCAGGGGAAAAACCUUGAAACCAAUUGUUUUCCUCCAUGGAACCUAGCUGAAAAGCUGUUCAAAAACUACCCAAAAACAGUCCCUAAACCACCAAAUCAUCACCCCAAUAACCAGUAAAAAGCAACCACGAAUAGCUCAUUUUCAAUCUGUUUUAUCGCCGAGUUUUCCAGAUUUUUCGGUGAGUUUGGAGGUCCGUGGAUUCCGGCGAAGUUUUCUGCACAAAGAUUCAGAUACUUUUUAUCAACCCCGUUACUAGCUGAGAGUGCUUGUUGCUGUCCGGAGACUUCAAGAUCCAUGUACUUCUUAUCAACCCCGCUACUAGUUGAGAGUGCUUGUUGAUGUACGGAGACUUUAAGGUAUAUCUGCCGCGUCCGCAGACCUCGGAGUCCCCCUCUAUUCCCUCAUAUGUC